rnacentral:rRNA from 1 species
CAAGAAAGAAAGGGCGCAAGGUGGAUGCCUUGGCACAUGAAGGCGAUGAAGGACGUAAGUGAACGAAAACUAGGGAGAGCUCACAAAAAGCACUGACCCCUAGGUCUCCGAAUGGGGAAACCCGGCUGUGGAAGACACAGUCAUUACUAAGUGAAUACAUAGCUUAGUAAAGCAAGACCCUGUGAACUGAAACAUCUAAGUAACAGGAGGAAAAGAAAGAAAACUCGAUUUUCCAAGUAGCGGCGAGCGAAAAGAAAAGAGCCUAAUCCAUUGAGGAAUAUCUAGUUAGUCGAAUCAUCUGGGAAGAUGAACCAAAGAAAGUGAAAGUCUUGUAGACGAAAACUAAAUAAACCAGGGAGGAAAGUAGCACCGGACACGAGGAAUCCGUUGUGAAGAUAGGGGGACCAUCCCCUAAGGCUAAAUACUAACAUGUGACCGAUAGCGAACAAGUACCGUGAGGGAAAGGUGAAAAGAACCCCGAAAGGGGAGUGAAACAGAACCUGAAACCUAGUGCCUACAAGCAGAGAGAGCUCUAAAGAGUGAUCUCGUACCUUUUGUAGAAUGGGCCAGCGAGUUAUCGUAUAUAGCAAGGUUAAAUCUUUAAGAGAUGAAGCCAAAGCGAAAGCGAGUCUUAAUAGGGCGAAUAGUUAGAUGCGAUAGACCCGAAACCGGGUGAUCUAUCCAUGGUCAGAGUGAAGGUGAAGUAAAAUUCACUGGAGGCUCGAACCGGGUACGGUUUAAAACGUAUCGGAUGAACUGUGGAUAGGGGCGAAAAACCAAACGAACUCGGAUAUAGCUGGUUCUCCUCGAAAUAGCUUUAGGGCUAGCCUUUGAUUAAGAUUUAAGGAGGUAGAGCACUGAAUGGUCUAGGGCGGCUUACCGUACCAAAACCUAUCAAACUCCGAAUGCCAAAAAAUCAGAUCAAGGAGUCAGACUUAGGGGGAUAAGCUUCUAAGUCGAAAGGGAAACAGCCCAGACCGACAGCUAAGGUCCCAAAAUCUGGAUUAAGUGGAAAAGGAUGUGAACCUACUAAGACAACCAGGACGUUGGCUUAGAAGCAGCCAUGCAUUUAAAGAAUGCGUAAUAGCUCACUGGUCAAGUGGGUUUGCGCCGAAAAUGAACGGGGCUAAAAUCCAGUACCGAAGCUUCGGAUUGAUAGAGAAUUUAAAAUAAAGUAUUUACCAGCAAUUUUAAUUUCUCUAUCAGUGGUAGAGGAGCAUUGUAUGGGCGAAGAAGCAUAAGCGAAAGCACGUGUGGAGCGCAUACAAGAGAGAAUGCUGGCAUGAGUAGCGAGAAGGGAUGUGAGAAUCAUCCCCGUCGAAACCCUAAGGAUUCCUGAGCAAGGCUCGUCCCCUCAGGGUAAGUCGGGACCUAAGGCGAGGCCGAAAGGCGUAGCCGAUGGAUAACAGGUUUAAAUUCCUGUACCGCUUAAAGUCGCUAUAGAGAAGUGAUGACGCAAGAGGAUAAGCUAAGCUAGCUGAUGGAUGCUAGUCUAAAAAGUGAGGCUGUCAUGUAGGCAAAUCCGCAUGACACAAGGCUAAGCUUUGAUAGGUAUCGAAAACACAAGUAGAGAAGUAGCUGAUUUCAAAUUGCCAAGAAAAGUCACUAUCAAGACCAAAGCGCCCGUACCAAAACCGACACAGGUAGGGAGGUAGAGAAUACCAAGACGCGCGGAAGAACCUUUGUUAAGGAACUCGGCAAAAUGUCCCCGUAACUUCGGGAGAAGGGGAGCCAGAGCGAUCUGGCCACAGAAACCAGGCCCAAGCGACUGUUUACCAAAAACACAAGUUUCUGCAAAAUCGAAAGAUGAAGUAUAGGAGCUGACACCUGCCCGGUGCUGGAAGGUUAAGGGGAAGGCUUAGCAUAAGCGAAGGCUAGAACUUAAGCCCCAGUAAACGGCGGCCGUAACUAUAACGGUCCUAAGGUAGCGAAAUUCCUUGUCGGGUAAGUUCCGACCCGCACGAAAGGUGUAACGAUUUGGGCACUGUCUCAACAAAGGAUCCGGUGAAAUUGUAGUAGUCGUGAAGAUGCGACUUACCCACGCUAGGACGGAAAGACCCCGUGGAGCUUUACUGUAGGCUGAUAUUGGACUUUGAGAUUAGACGUACAGGAUAGUUGGGAGACUUUGAAACACGCACGCCAGUGUAUGUGGAGUCACCCUUGGGAUACCAACCCUCUAAUAUUAAAGUUCUAACGAUGACCCUUGAAUCAGGGCAUCGGACAUUGUCAGUUGGGCAGUUUGACUGGGGCGGUCGCCUCCCAAAAAGUAACGGAGGCGUUCAAAGGUUCGCUCAGAAUGGACGGAAACCAUUCGUAGAGUACAAAGGCAGAAGCGAGCUUAACUGCAAAACCUACAAGUUGCGCAGAGUAGAAAUACGGACUUAGUGAUCCGGUGGCACCGCAUGGAAGGGCCAUCGCUCAACGGAUAAAAGCUACCCCGGGGAUAACAGGCUUAUCUCCCCCAAGAGUCCACAUCGACGGGGAGGUUUGGCACCUCGAUGUCGGCUCGUCUCAUCCUGGGGCUGAAGUAGGUCCCAAGGGUUGGGCUGUUCGCCCAUUAAAGAGGCACGCGAGCUGGGUUCAGAACGUCGUGAGACAGUUCGGUCCCUAUCCAGCGUGGGCGUAAGAAAUUUGAGAGGAUCUGUCCCUAGUACGAGAGGACCGGGAUGGACACACCGCUGGUGUACCAGUUGUUCCGCCAGGAGCAUAGCUGGGUAGCUACGUGUGGAAUUGAUAAGUACUGAAAGCAUCUAAGUACGAAGCAGGCCUCAAGAUAAGAUUUCUCAGAGUAGGUAAAGAAAAUACCUUUGAUAGGUCCAAGGUGUAAGUGCAGUAAUGUAUUAAGCUAAUGGAUACUAAACUUUACAUCU